rnacentral:rRNA from 1 species
UACGGAGGGGGCUAGCGUUGUUCGGAAUUACUGGGCGUAAAGCGCACGUAGGCGGCUUUGUAAGUUAGAGGUGAAAGCCCGGAGCUCAACUCCGGAACUGCCUUUAAGACUGCAUCGCUUGAGUCAUGGAGAGGUCAGUGGAAUUCCGAGUGUAGAGGUGAAAUUCGUAGAUAUUCGGAAGAACACCAGUGGCGAAGGCGACUGACUGGACAUGUAUUGACGCUGAGGUGCGAAAGCGUGGGGAGCAAACAGG